AACGAACGCUGGCGGCAGGCUUAACACAUGCAAGUCGAGCGCCUCGCAAGGGGAGCGGCAGACGGGUGAGUAACGCGUGGGAACAUGCCCAAAGGUACGGAACAACUCCGGGAAACUGGAGCUAAUACCGUAUGUGACCGAGAGGUGAAAGAUUUAUCGCCUUUGGAUUGGCCCGCGUUGGAUUAGCUAGUUGGUGGGGUAAAGGCCUACCAAGGCGACGAUCCAUAGCUGGUCUGAGAGGAUGAUCAGCCACACUGGGACUGAGACACGGCCCAGACUCCUACGGGAGGCAGCAGUGGGGAAUAUUGGACAAUGGGCGCAAGCCUGAUCCAGCCAUGCCGCGUGAGUGAUGAAGGCCUUAGGGUUGUAAAGCUCUUUCGCCAGGGACGAUAAUGACGGUACCUGGAUAAGAAGCCCCGGCUAACUUCGUGCCAGCCGCCGCCGUAAUAC
rnacentral:rRNA from 1 species